GAUGAACGCUGGCGGCGUGCCUAAUACAUGCAAGUCGAGCGAACAGAUGAGGAGAUUGCUCCUCUGACGUUAGCGGCGGACGGGUGAGUAACACGUGGAUAACCUAGCUAUAAGACUGGGAUAACUUCGGGAAACCGUAGCUAAUACCGGGUAAUAUAUUGAACGGCAUGGGUCAAUAGUGGAAGACGGUUUUGCUGUCACUUAUGGAUAGAUCCGCGCCUCAUUAGCGGAUUGGUAAGGUAAGGGCUUACCAAGGCAACAAUGCAUAGCCGACCGGAGAGGGGGUUCGGCGAUACUGGAACUGAGAGACGGUCCACACUCCUACUGAGGGACGGAGUAGGGACCUUCCCGCAACGGGCGAAAGCCAGACGGAGCAACGCGGCGUGAGCGAUGAAGGCCUUCGGACCUUAAAAUUCUGUUAUCAGGGAAGAACAAAUGUGUAAGUAACUAUGCACGCAUUGACGGUACCUAAUCAGAAAGCCACGGCUAACUCCGUG
rnacentral:rRNA from 1 species